rnacentral:lncRNA from 1 species
CCAGAGUUGUGCUCUCCUGCAGCGUUUUGCGGACGGCUGGCUAUCUUACCCAGAAUCAAUCACACUGGGACACUGAAAAAAAAAAAAAAGGAAUAAAAUAAAAAGUUUAAAAAGCAAACAAAAAACCCCAAAUAGAGUUGUAUCAACGAGGUUUUGCUUGUGAUUUGAUUUUGUGGCCGUAAUUGUCCUGUUCUCUUUCAACACAAUAACCCUAACCCUCUCCCUGUUUCUUUCAGAAAGAGCGAGGGAGUAAUUCUAGCCUGUUUUUACAAGAACACAGUGGCUAUAGACGGUGCCAGUGUGAAGAUGACUCAGCAAACGUGGAGAACCAAAGAUUCUAGGGCAGCACCAAAACUGGGAAAGCAAUUACAGCAGAAGUUGCCUUCCCCAUGGUAGCUUAGCAACUUCGUGUCUCUCCAAGGCAGAGAGGAAAAUCAAGUCUAACAGGCCUUCCCGAAGGCUAGGUGUGAAAUACCAGAAGCCAUCUUUGUUUCUGGCGAUGUCACUAAAUAAGUAUUUGUUGAUAUAAAGUAUUACACAUCUGUUCUCCCACAUUUCAGCUAAAUUGCCAAAAGUUAACCCUUUCUGGAGAUCCAGAAUGGAGCAAUAUACCUAGCUCUCAUUCAUUAUUUCCCUUGCUGAUAUUCUUGCAUAGCUUUUAGUUUAUGCAU